rnacentral:rRNA from 1 species
GUAGGUGGCAAGCGUUGUCCGGAAUUAUUGGGCGUAAAGCGCGCGCGGGCGGUUCGUUUAAGUCUGAUGUGAAAGCCCACGGGCUCAACCGUGGAGGGUCAUUGGAAACUGGAGAACUUGAGUACAGAAGAGGAAAGCGGAAUUCCACGUGUAGCGGUGAAAUGCGUAGAGAUGUGGAGGAACACCAGUGGCGAAGGCGGCUUUCUGGUCUGUAACUGACGCUGAGGCGCGAAAGCGUGGGGAGCAAACAGGAUUAGAUACCCUGGUAGUCCACGCCGUAAACGAUGAGUGCUAAGUGUUAGGGGGUUUCCGCCCCUUAGUGCUGCAGCUAACGCAUUAAGCACUCCGCCUGGGGAGUACGGCCGCAAAGGCUG